CUCAAACAUGUGAAAGGAAAGAGAAAAGGGAGGCAGAAAAUUUCUUUUUAAGCGUCUAAAAAUAAUAGUAAAUGAAAGGACACCUGGUUAACGGGAGCUUGUACAAUUUUCUCUUUCUUAUACACGAUUCUUGAUCAAAUUUAAAGGUUCAGUUUAGAAUCUGUAUCUCUUACUUUGAAGCUGUUGAAAUUCUAGCAACAUCACCAGCAACAAAACACCAGGGACCUGGACCAGAACAAGCAGGGACCUCAUUUCAGAGUGGACAAGUGUCAUUGGAACUGAGCAGGCUGAAGCUUCAAGAGCAAUACCUUAUGGCAGUGAGAAGCAAUAGCGGUCCUCCGGUUCUGUUUUAGCUUGGCCUGGGAAAGAGACUUUCAAUGCAGUAAGUCCCUGGGGUUGUUGGACAAUGUGAGAGUAGAACUCAAGAGGGAAACACUAGACUGUCUGCUAAAAGAUCAGACCAAAACCCCUAAAUCUGUGGCAAUAUGGCGCCGGGGUCAAAAGUUAUAUUGCAUUUAAUCCAAUGAUCAAAUUAGGAGAAAGGAUAAGUGUUGAGAUAUUAUGUAAAAGCAAUGCUUAAGAUUAUUACUUUCAUCUUACUUUGAUGUUCUACUCAUCAAAUAAACAGUAAGCUAAUUUAGAGACUUCAUAAAGAUGACAUUCACUUUAAGGAAACUGAUAUAUCAAAAAGCAAACUAAAAAACUGUAGUAG
rnacentral:lncRNA from 1 species